rnacentral:rRNA from 1 species
UACAGGGGGUGCAAACGUUGCUCGGAAUCAUUGGGCGUAAAGCGCACGUAGGCGGUUCGUUAUGUCGGAUGUGAAAGCCCUUGGCUUAACCGAGGAAGUGCAUCCGAAACUGGCGAGCUAGAGUACGAAAGAGGAUCGCGGAAUUCCCGGUGUAGAGGUGAAAUUCGUAGAUAUCGGGAGGAACCCCGGUGGGGAAGGCGGCGAUCUGGGUCGAUACUGACGCUGAGGUGCGAAAGCGUGGGGAGCAAACAGG